rnacentral:rRNA from 1 species
AAUAGAUACCCCGGUAGUCCACGCCGUAAACGAUGGAUACUAGCUGUUUGUUCGAAAGGAUGAGUGGCUAAGCGAAAGUGAUAAGUAUCCCACCUGGGGAGUACGGGCGCAAGCCUGAAACCCAAAGGAAUUGACGGGGCCCGCACAAGCGGUGGAGCAUGUGGUUUAAUUCGAUGAUACGCGAGGAACCUUACCAGGGCUUAAAUGUGUUUUGACCGAUCUGGAAACAGAUCUUUCGCAAGACAAAAUACAAGGUGCUGCAUGGUUGUCGUCAGCUCGUGCCGUGAGGUGUCAGGUUAAGUCCUAUAACGAGCGCAACCCCUGUUGUUAGUUGCCAGCGAGUCAUGUCGGGAACUCUAACAAGACUGCCAGUGUAAACUGUGAGGAAGGUGGGGAUGACGUCAAAUCAUCACGGCCCUUAGUCCUGGGCCACACACGUGCUACAAUGGGCGGUACAGAGAGCAGCUACCUAGUGAUAGGAUGCGAAUCUAUAAAAACCGUUCUCAGUUCGGAUCGGAGUCUGCAACUCG